UACGUAGGGUGCAAGCGUUGUCCGGAAUUAUUGGGCGUAAAGAGCUCGUAGGCGGUCUGUCGCGUCGGCUGUGAAAACCCGGAGCUCAACUCCGGGCCUGCAGUCGAUACGGGCAGACUGGAGUUCGGCAGGGGAGACUGGAAUUCCUGGUGUAGCGGUGAAAUGCGCAGAUAUCAGGAGGAACACCGGUGGCGAAGGCGGGUCUCUGGGCCGAUACUGACGCUGAGACGCGAAAGCGUGGGGAGCGAACCGG
rnacentral:rRNA from 1 species